AAUUAAAUUUUUUUUAUCUAAGCCCUCUAAUCAAACUGGUUGGGUUGCCACUGAUGGGAGAUGUCUUAGUACAUCUCCUUGCUCCUCAUUUCUUUCGCCCAUUGAAACAAUAAAAAAAUAAAAAAAUAAAAUUAAUGAAUAAAGAAAUGGGUGCGUGCAGAUUGAAAUCCUAACCUUAUCUCCAGCCAGGCUUUUCUCUUCCACUCUCAUCUCUCUCUUCACGCAAAUCACCAUCAUUAUUCACGGCAGCAAUUGCUCACGGCUUAUCUCCAACCAGGCUUUCCUCUUUCACUCUCCUCUCUCCUCACGCAAAUCACCAUCAUCAUUCACAGCAGCAACUGCUCACGGCACGCACCAUCAUCGUUCAUGGCAAAGCACUCCUCACGGUAAAGCACUCAUCCACUUGUCUCUCCUCACGAAAACUCACCAUCAUCGUUCACGGCAAGCAACACUGUUUCCCCCUCUCUCUGGGCUCCCUUGGCAAACAUUAAGUAAGCAAAAUGGUGCCUUUUUUCAACUUGUUCUUUUUCUUUUUACUUUUCUUACAUUUUCUCGGCAAACAAUAAAUAAAUGGAAUUUAAGCAAUGCAAGAUAUGAUAAGCUUCUGUGAUUUUGUGUAAUAAGCUUCUCGAAUUUUUUUUUUUACAUUUCUUUUGCAGGUUCGAAACUAAUUGAAAAACAAAUUGAUGUUCGAAUUUAUGUUUUGACAUUUCUAUGAAAUAUUUGGUUUUUGUGCAGAAUUUAAAAAGCUGGUUUAAUUUGUGUGAAAAUUGAUGAAUUUUGGUUUAGUGUGAUGUAAAAUUGCUGGGAAUUUGGGAAAGUUAGUUUCAAUUAUGGCUUCUUGUAAUUUUGAAUUUAGAUGUGUGCUUCUGGAGUUAUUGCAGUUUAUGUUGUGACCUUAAA
rnacentral:lncRNA from 1 species